rnacentral:rRNA from 1 species
AUUGAACGCUGGCGGCAUGCUUUACACAUGCAAGUCGAACGGUAACAGGCCGCAAGGUGCUGACGAGUGGCGAACGGGUGAGUAAUGCAUCGGAACGUGCCCAGUCGUGGGGGAUAACGCAGCGAAAGCUGCGCUAAUACCGCAUACGAUCUAUGGAUGAAAGCGGGGGACCGUAAGGCCUCGCGCGAUUGGAGCGGCUGAUGUCAGAUUAGGUAGUUGGUGGGGUAAAGGCUCACCAAGCCAACGAUCUGUAGCUGGUCUGAGAGGACGACCAGCCACACUGGGACUGAGACACGGCCCAGACUCCUCCGGGAGGCAGCAGUGGGGAAUUUUGGACAAUGGGCGCAAGCCUGAUCCAGCAAUGCCGCGUGCAGGAAGAAGGCCUUCGGGUUGUAAACUGCUUUUGUACGGAACGAAACGGUCCUGGUUAAUACCCGGGGCUAAUGACGGUACCGUAAGAAUAAGCACCGGCUAACUACGUGCCAGCCGCCGCGGUAAAAC